UCAAUAAGCGGAGGAAAAGAAACCAACAGGGAUUGCCCCAGUAACGGCGAGUGAAGCGGCAACAGCUCAAAUUUGAAAUCUGGCCCCCGGGUCCGAGUUGUAAUUUGUAGAGGAUGCUUUUGGCGAGGUGCCUUCCGAGUUCCCUGGAACGGGACGCCAUAGAGGGUGAGAGCCCCGUCUGGUCGGACACCGAGCCUCUGUAAAGCUCCUUCGACGAGUCGAGUAGUUUGGGAAUGCUGCUCAAAAUGGGAGGUAUAUGUCUUCUAAAGCUAAAUAUUGGCCAGAGACCGAUAGCGCACAAGUAGAGUGAUCGAAAGAUGAAAAGCACUUUGAAAAGAGGGUUAAAAAGUACGUGAAAUUGUUGAAAGGGAAGCGCCUAUGACCAGACUUGGGCCCGGUGAAUCAUCCAGCGUUCUCGCUGGUGCACUUUGCCGGGCACAGGCCAGCAUCAGUUUGGCGCGGGGGAGAAAGGCUCUGGGAAUGUGGCUCCUCCGGGAGUGUUAUAGCCCACUGCGUAAUACCCUGCGCCGGACUGAGGUACGCGCAUUGCAAGGAUGCUGGCGUAAUGGUCAUCAGCGACCCGUCUUGAAACACGGACCAAGGAGUCGUCUUCGUAUGCGAGUGUUCGGGUGUCAAACCCCUACGCGUAAUGAAAGUGAACGCAGGUGAGAGCUUCGGCGCAUCAUCGACCGAUCCUGAUGUUCUCGGAUGGAUUUGAGUAAGAGCAUACGGGGCCGGACCCGAAAGAAGGUGAACUAUGCCUGUAUAGGGUGAAGCCAGAGGAAACUCUGGUGGAGGCUCGCAGCGGUUCUGACGUGCGAAUCGAUCGUCAAAUAUGGGCAUGGGGGCGAAAGACUAAUCGAACCUUCUAGUAGCUGGUUCGC
rnacentral:rRNA from 1 species